rnacentral:rRNA from 1 species
UACGAAGGGGGCUAGCGUUGCUCGGAAUUACUGGGCGUAAAGCGCACGUAGGCGGUUCUGUAAGUAGGGGGUGAAAUCCCAGGGCUCAACCCUGGAACUGCCUUCUAGACUGCAGGCCUGGAGGUCAGGAGAGGCGAGUGGAAUUCCGAGUGUAGAGGUGAAAUUCGUAGAUAUUCGGAGGAACACCAGUGGCGAAGGCGACUCGCUGGACUGAUACUGACGCUGAGGUGCGAAAGCGUGGGGAGCAAACAGG